rnacentral:misc_RNA from 1 species
AAGUCGUAACAAGGUUUCCGUAGGUGAACCUGCGGAAGGAUCAUUAAAAAAGUUUGGUUAUGAACUCUCAUACCAAUCUCCACUCUGUGUAUCUGUCCACUGUACGCUUCCAUUUGGCGUGGGUCUUCGGAUCCCCUCCUGUCUAGCCAUCAUCGGCUUGAUUGGGAGAGUCCAGAUGGGAGCCAAUAGCAAACUCAUUUUUUAGUUGUAUGUAAUGUCUGACUAUGUUGCAAAGCAAUAUUUAAAACUUUCAACAAUGGAUCUCUUGGUUCUC